UGGGCAUUAGCCAAACUGGUAAGGCAGCGGACUCUGAAUCCGUAAUGUACUGGUUCGAAUCCAGUAUGCCCAA
rnacentral:tRNA from 1 species